rnacentral:sRNA from 1 species
CCUGCGGAGGGAUCAUUACCGAGUUUACAACUCCCAAACCCCUGUGAACAUACCUAUACGUUGCCUCGGCGGAUCAGCCCGCGCCCCGUAAAACGGGACGGCCCGCCCGAGGACCCUAAACUCUGUUUUUAGUGGAACUUCUGAGUAAAACAAACAAAUAAAUCAAAACUUUCAACAACGGAUCUCUUGGUUCUGGCAUCGAUGAAGAACGCAGCAAAAUGCGAUAAGUAAUGUGAAUUGCAGAAUUCAGUGAAUCAUCGAAUCUUUGAACGCACAUUGCGCCCGCCAGUAUUCUGGCGGGCAUGCCUGUUCGAGCGUCAUUUCAACCCUCAAGCUCAGCUUGGUGUUGGGACUCGCGGUAACCCGCGUUCCCCAAAUCGAUUGGCGGUCACGUCGAGCUUCCAUAGCGUAGUAAUCAUACACCUCGUUACUGGUAAUCGUCGCGGCCACGCCGUAAAACCCCAACUUCUGAAUGU